UACGUAGGGGGCUAGCGUUGCUCGGAAUCACUGGGCGUAAAGGGUGCGUAGGCGGGUAUUUAAGUCAGGGGUGAAAUCCUGGAGCUCAACUCCAGAACUGCCUUUGAUACUGAAGAUCUUGAGUGCGGGAGAGGUGAGUGGAACUGCGAGUGUAGAGGUGAAAUUCGUAGAUAUUCGCAAGAACACCAGUGGCGAAGGCGGCUCACUGGCCCGUAACUGACGCUGAGGUGCGAAAGCGUGGGGAGCAAACAGG
rnacentral:rRNA from 1 species